UACAGAGGUCUCAAGCGUUGUUCGGAAUUACUGGGCGUAAAGGGUGCGCAGGCUGCGCGGGAAGUCAAAUGUGAAAUUCAGGGGCUCAACCCCGUGCAUUGCGCUUGAUACUUCCGCGCUCGAGCCUUGGAAAGGAGUCUGGAAUUCUCGGUGUAGCAGUGAAAUGCGUAGAUAUCGUAAGGAAGACCAGUGGCGAAGGCGGGUCUCUGGACAGUUCCUGACGCUGAGGCACGAAGGUCAGGGGAGCAAACGGG
rnacentral:rRNA from 1 species